AUUACACCUCCUGCAACUGUCUCAGAGUAGAAACAUGUUUGCUGUUCUAGUGGAAUAAUGGAUCUGCUUCAUUUUUUUUAGAUUGAUGCAACUUCAGUGAAAAAAGCUCAGAACUGGGCUCAGAAAGUUAUAAAAAUCUAACUAUGAAGAGAAGUUCCUGCUUUUUGAUGGUCUUGGUAACAACUUGUCCACUUACAGGAUUGUAUAGAAAAUAAGAACAUGAUUCAGAGAUACACAUUUCUGGAACUUCAUUUGGUGGAAGAAUCCAAGGGCUCCAGAAUGGCCUGUUGCAAGAAGAACAGAAAGCGUUUUCAGAAGCACAGCUGGGCAGUUCUGCACCAGGGGUGGCAGCGGCACACAGGGUCCCAGUAAUGGCUAGGCUGCAGGUGGUAGCUGCUAUUUUUGCACCCCCAUGAAAGUCAGCACCUGGGCUGGUGUCCUAUUAGCCCUUGCUUAGUUACAAGGGCAACACCCAUCUGGACUGAGACAGCACAAGACUCCAUGAAGCAGAACAAGGAAUGAAGCCCUUGUCAUGCUGAUCGUGCCUGCCUUGCCCUCAUCUCCCUAUUUUACUGCAAUUCCUGCGAUCACAGACCCGAUGAAGAAUGUCCUGCAUUCAAAAUGUUGUCUUACUUUAUCCCAACUGCAUAGUUGGUCAAAUAAAACAUACCGUCCUAAAAAAAUUCUU